UCUUAAAGGAUAUGUCAUGGGUUCGAAUUCUGAGGGACGCGACAGAAAUCCGUAAGAGAUGGGCUUAGGCUCUAUCAAAGCAAACAGUAUGUUCAAGUUAACGUCUUGGGCACAGAGGUUGGGUCAUUACAAAAUGACUGCAUUUUUUUUUUUUUUGGUUCAAUUGGUACCAGGAUUCAACUUAAAACUCUUUUAAUGGGAGGUCAUGUGUUCGAAUUUUGGGGAACAUGACAGAAAGCUGUGAGGGAUAAGAGGGAAUAUUCCCUAUCAAAGUGGACAGUGUGUAACAGACACAGUGGCUGGGCACAAGAACUAAGUCAUUACAUUUAUAAAUGACAUUUGAAUUGUCUAGCCGUUAGAACCAAAGAUAGCAAUGAUAUUUUCUUCUCAAAAUUGUUUUUACAGGAUUUUCUUUAAAGUAAUGAAAUUGCAGUAAACUUCAUAUGUGUGAUGGGUUUGAACUUAUGCACAUUAGAAAAUAGGAAGUUGAUGGUUUGCAACAUUGGACACAAAAUGUUUUCUACAAAAAUAAAGUAGAAUGAUAAUGUUACAAUCUGAAGUACCACAUGCAGACCUCAAGGGGUAACCUUCAUUCAUUUAAAUGCCUCUUAUGUUAGAAAUUUUCCUCUGAAUGUUUGAAGUGAUUUAAUUUGAAAAAUAUUUCUCAUGUCAGAUUCUUGCUUUGAACAUCUGAACCGAAAGUUUUUCAAAAAGCUUUGUACUUGUGAACUGUAAAAUUGAAAUAGUUGUAAAUAAUUGGCUUCACUUGAAAAAGUACCUUACAAAUUCAUUAUUCAGUAGCAAUCUCCUUGUUUUCAAUUUGAGUUCUCCCUUCAGUCUGCACUUCGGAGACAUCUUCCUUGUAUCUGAAGCGCACUUUAGAAGUCUGGACUGUGUAGAUGGACGUGUCACAUGUUUUCCACAUCUUCUUGUUCUCAAUUAUGAUUCAACGAUUUCUAAUUAUUCCAGUUAAUUUUUCCAUAUUUAAAAGUAAGAAUCCUAAUAUAUUCCUCUCCCCUCUCUCGAGUGCCAACUAGAAAUUAAUCUUAGAUUUCAAUUGCAAUAUUUCUAUUCCAAAUUGAAAAUCAAGAUUUUAUAGAAGUCUCGAUUCUUUUAUGGAGUAAGCUUCACAAAUUUUAUACUCUCUCUCGAAAUCCAUAAAAUCAAUGUUGUGUCAAUCUUAUGAUCACGUCUAAAUUU
rnacentral:lncRNA from 1 species